UUUCCGGUAUGCCUAAAUACACAUUGUUGAACUUCAAUGCUAUUUCCAAAGUGUUUCCAUGGGGCCAGAAACAGUAGGUAUAAACAUUAAACAGCUUUAGGUAGGAGAAAUAAGGUUCAAAGUAGGUCACCCCAUAAU
rnacentral:pre_miRNA from 1 species